GCGUUAUGCGCGCGCAUGUUGAAAACAAGCCACAGAAAUAAAACGAAAGGCGAUUUUUAAAAUACUAUUUAUCACAAACACUUAAAGAAAAUGACAGCGCGAUAUUUUCGCAGUGUUACCAAUUAAGCACCUCUGAUCCCCGAUACUCAAAGAACAAACUAACCACAUUCACCGCCUCACUCACCAUUUAUAAUAAAUAAUUUAGUACACAUGAAAUUUGGAUUUAGCUACUUUUUGUGAUGUUUUUUGUUCAAGAAAUAGAGGCCAUGUUUGAUUCUCAUCAGUUGCUCCAUGUGCAACAUCGUUGAAAUUUUCUACAGAGCCUUGGGAUGAACUGCUUAGUCCACUGUCCUCGUUCGGGGGUACCAAAGGUUGGUCAGGUCGGCUUGCAAAAAUUUUCAAUAAUUGUUCAUCCCGAAUACUUAAUCGACGCUUGUUUCGCUGAGGCGACAUUACCUCCACCGAGGUCUGCUUUAGUUGGCUUUCUUGUAAAGGCUUCUUUUUUACAAUAACAUUCUUCAGCUGUAUAUUUUUUCGCGAUCUAUCAAGUGCCGUUGUAUAUGUUAGUGUUUGCCAUGUUGGAGCUCGGGUUACAAAUUUGUCCAUGAUAAAUAAACUAUACGCCCACAGGCGCUAACCACGGCGUA